AAUGAGAUAAGGCCUGCCAUGGAUAACGAAUAACCUUAUUGGUUAGUCUGGUGAUUACCCUACGAAGUAGAGGAAAUAGUCCCUUUGGUAUAAGACGAACCUCUGGAAGCUCUACAAUAUAGAAAGCAAGUUUGGUGCCCUUUGAAGGGAAUCACACAUGAGGGUUGGUUCUCGUGCGAAAAGUAGAGGAAAUCGUCCCUUUGGUAUAAGACGAACCUCUGGAAGCUCUACAAUAUAGAAAAGCUAGAUUGGUGCCCUUUGAAGGGAAUCACACAUGAGGGUUGGUUCUCGUGCGAUUUUUCUAUUGGGCCAAUCCCAUGUUGGCCUGAUACGAGUUGCUUCGGAGCUGCUUUGGAGGUACGAGUUUCACUCUUUAGAUAGGCUAGCCUAAAAGAAAAAAAGCAGUUGAUUACUACAGGUGUCGGCGAUGACCCUAUU
rnacentral:lncRNA from 1 species